rnacentral:rRNA from 1 species
GACGAACGCUGGCGGCGUGCUUAACACAUGCAAGUCGAACGGAAAGGCCCUGCUUGCAGGGUACUCGAGUGGCGAACGGGUGAGUAACACGUGGGUGAUCUGCCCUGCACUUCGGGAUAAGCCUGGGAAACUGGGUCUAAUACCGGAUAGGAGCCAUUUUUAGUGUGAUGGUUGGAAAGUUUUUUCGGUGUAGGAUGAGCUCGCGGCCUAUCAGCUUGUUGGUGGGGUAAUGGCCUACCAAGGCGGCGACGGGUAGCCGGCCUGGGAGGGUGGACGGCCACAUUGGGACUGAGAUACGGCCCAGACUCCUACGGGAGGCAGCAGUGGGGAAUAUUGCACAAUGGGCGCAAGCCUGAUGCAGCGACGCCGCGUGGGGGAUGACGGCCUUCGGGUUGUAAACGCCUUUCGCUAGGGACGAAGCUUUUUGUGACGGUACCUAGAGAAGAAGCACCGGCUAACUACGUG